rnacentral:tRNA from 1 species
GCUCACGUAGUUCAGCCUGGAUAGAAUGCUUCCCUCCUAAGGAAGAGGUCGUAGGUUCAAAUCCUACCGUGAGCG